rnacentral:lncRNA from 1 species
GGUUAUUUCACCUUAGAGGUGAAGUUCGGGUCUCUGGUUCAGCAGAAGCAGUGGCUGUUGCAGCGAUGGGUCGAACGUUGCUGCGGACGUGCCUUUCGAUAUUGCUGCUAGCACUACUAGUGUUAGCGAAGAAAAAGACCAGCAGCGGCGAUGUAAUCGAAGAAGUCGGCGGUAAGAAACUCGAGAAGCUGAUCGAAGAAGAAGAAUUCUUAGCUGUUUUCUUCUGUAAGUAUAUAACGGGAGUUAUGUAAAAGUAUCGAAUGCCGGUCUAUUCUCAGUGUUGUACGCCACUUACCUUUUUUGGUACACCAACCCAAUGGGAAAUCCAAUACUUUUUCACUAAAGAAACGUUAAAAAUACGAGAAAUAUUGCAGAACCAUUUCUGUCUGCAACACGUCCCAUCUACGCAAAUAUUAUUGUCGUCUGCAUUUUUAAUAAUUUUUUCGGCGCGUGUUUGGCUAGCCGGCGGCCUCUGACGUCAUCGCUUUUCGCAUAUGAAUUUUAACUGCUCCUUAUGACGACAAAAAUAUGAAAUUCGAAUUUUUAGCAUUUUUUCUAAUUUUUAAUUCGAAUUUAGAAUAUUUCUUCAACAAAAAAAUAUUUGUUUAGAAUAUAUUUUAGACGCGAUUUAUUUAAAGAUCAGGUUAUAUUAUAAAUAUGCAUAUAUGCGUCUAAUAAUCACGCUGCAUAGUCCGAACAAGUAUAAUAUCUA